rnacentral:rRNA from 1 species
GGCGAACGCUGGCGGCGCGCCUAACACAUGCAAGUCGAACGAGCGAGAGAGAGCUUGCUUUCUCGAGCGAGUGGCGAACGGGUGAGUAACGCGUGAGGAACCUGCCUCAAAGAGGGGGACAACAGUUGGAAACGACUGCUAAUACCGCAUAAGCCCACGACCCGGCAUCGGGUAGAGGGAAAAGGAGCAAUCCGCUUUGAGAUGGCCUCGCGUCCGAUUAGCUAGUUGGUGAGGUAACGGCCCACCAAGGCGACGAUCGGUAGCCGGACUGAGAGGUUGAACGGCCACAUUGGGACUGAGACACGGCCCAGACUCCUACGGGAGGCAGCAGUGGGGAAUAUUGCACAAUGGGGGAAACCCUGAUGCAGCGACGCCGCGUGGAGGAAGAAGGUCUUCGGAUUGUAAACUCCUGUUGUUGAGGAAGAUAAUGACGGUACUCAACAAGGAAGUGACGGCUAACUACGUG